AUUGAACGCUGGCGGCAGGCCUAACACAUGCAAGUCGAACGGAGCGUCGGACGGGUGAGUAAUGCCUAGGAAUCUGCCCGGUAGUAGGGGAUAACGCCCGGAGGCGGACGCUAAUACCACAUACUUUCAGAUGAGCCUCGGUCGGAUUAGCUAGUUGGUGGGGUAAAGGCCUACCAAGGCGACGAUCCGUAACUGGUCUGAGAGGAUGAUCAGUCACACUGGAACUGAGACACGGCCCAGACUCCUACGGGAGGCAGCAGUGGGGAAUAUUGGGCAAUGGGCGAAAGUCUGAUCCAGCCAUGCCGCGUGUGUGAAGAAGGUUUUCGGAUUGUAAAGCACUGUAAGUAGGGAGGCGGUACCAACAGAAUAAGCACCGGCUAACUUCGUGCCAGCAGCCGCGGUAAUAC
rnacentral:rRNA from 1 species